rnacentral:lncRNA from 1 species
AGAGCAUCCAGGCACAGAGGAUUCUGGGAGCAGAGGAAAGUGAUUCUUUCUACCUGUUUGGACAGCUUCAUGAAGAAGAGUUUUGCCACAAGAUGUUUCCACGUGGCUUACAGGAAGGCUGAUACACAAGACAUCCUGGGGUGAGGCAUCUUCUCGCAUCCACAUCUUCACUGAGGGCCACCCUGCAGACAACCUCUCCAAUCGACACAGGCUAUAUAAUCCUCCUCUUCCUACGUCCACAAUCUGCUGGUUCACAGUAGUGAUAAUCCCUGCAUUAUUUGCAUUGCUUUCAUUGGUUUCCUUUAUCAUUUCUUCUUUUGUAAAUUAAAGACUCAAAAAAAUAAUUUAAAAAAAUAAAGACUCAGUUACUCCAGUGUUAAGC